GAUGAACGCUGGCGGCGUGCCUAAUACAUGCAAGUCGAGCGAACAGACGAGGAGCUUGCUCCUCUGACGUUAGCGGCGGACGGGUGAGUAACACGUGGAUAACCUACCUUUAAGACUGGGAUAACUUCGGGAAACCGGAGCUAAUACCGGAUAAUAUAUUGAACCGCAUGGUUCAAUAGUGAAAGACGGUUUUGCUGUCACUUAUCGAUGGAUCCGCGCCGCAUUAGCUAGUUGGUAAGGUAACGGCUUACCAAGGCAACGAUGCGUAGCCGACCUGAGAGGGUGAUCGGCCACACUGGAACUGAGACACGGUCCAGACUCCUACGGGAGGCAGCAGUAGGGAAUCUUCCGCAAUGGGCGAAAGCUUGACGGAGCAACGCCGCGUGUGUGAUGAAGGUCUUCGGAUCGUAAAACUCUGUUAUUAGGGAAGAACAAAUGUGUAAGUAACUAUGCACGUCUUGACGGUACCUAAUCAGAAAGCCACGGCUAACUACGUG
rnacentral:rRNA from 1 species